GACGAACGCUGGCGGCGUGCUUAACACAUGCAAGUCGAGCGGUAAGGCCCUUUCGGGGGUACACGAGCGGCGAACGGGUGAGUAACACGUGGGUGACCUGCCCUCAGCUCUGGGAUAAGCCUGGGAAACCGGGUCUAAUACUGGAUAUGACUCCAUGACGCAUGUUGUGGGGUGGAAAGCCUUGUGCGGCUGAGGAUGGGCCCGCGGCCUAUCAGCUUGUUGGUGGGGUGANGGCCUACCAAGGCGACGACGGGUAGCCGGCCUGAGAGGGCGACCGGCCACACUGGGACUGAGACACGGCCCAGACUCCGUACGGGAGGCAGCAGUGGGGAAUCUUGCGCAAUGGGCGAAAGCCUGACGCAGCGACGCCGCGUGAGGGAUGACGGCCU
rnacentral:rRNA from 1 species